rnacentral:misc_RNA from 1 species
UUUUUCUUUUUGGAAUGAAUGAGCCAACUCUCCUUUAGACUUUCCCAUCAUGUUCAGUAGAAUCUGUUAUACCACCAUGUUUUUGUUGUCUAGCUGUCGGGAGCGUGUGACUCCGACGUUCUUUUCCACCGGGUUUCGAUGAGGCAUUACCGUACCAUAUCAUCCCGAUGACAGCUAUGAUCAUUCCCAAAACUACCUGCAUGUUAAGCCCUUCCUUCCCAAAGAAGAAGAAUCCCAUGAUUAACACAAGGAUUGUCUUCAUGUGGCCAAGAACUUGAAAUGACACAGCUGUGAAUCUGCCUAUGCAGAUAAAUUGGCUAAGAUUGG